rnacentral:misc_RNA from 1 species
GAAAUGCGAUAAGUAAUGUGAAUUGCAGAAUUCCGUGAAUCAUUAAAUCUUUGAACGCACAUUGCGCCCUCUGGUACUCCUAAGGGCAUGCCUGUUCGAGAAUCAGUUUAACCAUCAAAUCUAUUGUGUAAAAGCAAUAUGAUUUGGAUUUGAGAAGCCUGGGUGUAUACCUCAGAAACUCUAAUAUAAUCUGUUGCCUGUUUAUACAAUGGCUAGAUAUAAAGGGCAUGACCAUUGAACAUUUUGUUCUUGUAUUGCUUGUAUGAUCUAACUAUUUGUAUUUACGUGCGCACAUUAAAAUUUCACGAGGAGUAAAAUCCCUCAAGACUUGAUCUCGAAUCAGACAAGACUACCCGCUGAACUUAA